UACGUAGGGUGCGAGCGUUGUCCGGAAUUACUGGGCGUAAAGAGCUCGUAGGUGGUUUGUCGCGUUGUUCGUGAAAACUCACAGCUUAACUGUGGGCGUGCGGGCGAUACGGGCAGACUGGAGUACUGCAGGGGAGACUGGAAUUCCCGGUGUAGCGGUGAAAUGCGCAGAUAUCGGGAAGAACACCCGUGGCGAAGGCGGCCACCUGGGCCGGAACUGACGCUGAGGCGCGAAAGCGUGGGGAGCAAACGGG
rnacentral:rRNA from 1 species